UACGUAGGGGGCAAGCGUUGUCCGGAAUCAUUGGGCGUAAAGAGCGUGUAGGCGGCCCGAUAAGUCCGCUGUGAAAGUCCAGGGCUCAACCCUGGGAUGCCGGUGGAUACUGUCGGGCUCGAGUCCGGAAGAGGAGUGUGGAAUUCCUGGUGUAGCGGUGAAAUGCGCAGAUAUCAGGAGGAACACCAAUGGCGAAGGCAGCACUCUGGGACGUGACUGAGGAUGAGACGCGAAAGCGUGGGGAGCGAUCCGG
rnacentral:rRNA from 1 species